rnacentral:rRNA from 1 species
UACGGGGGUGUAAGCGUUGUUCGGAAUUACUGGGCGUAAAGGGCUCGUAGGCGGCCAACUAAGUCAUACGUGAAAUCCCUCAGCUUAACUGGGGAACUGCGUGUGAUACUGGAUGGCUUGGAUUUGGGAGAGGGAUGCGGAAUUCCAGGUGUAGCGGUGAAAUGCGUAGAUAUCUGGAGGAACACCGGUGGCGAAGGCGGCAUCCUGGACCAAUAUUGACGCUGAGGAGCGAAAGCCAGGGGAGCAAACGGG